AUCUUCCAUCACCGUAAGCUCAAUAGCUUGAACUCAGUAUUUCGUUUCUUACUGUUGAAGUAUAUUUUCAAAAUUCCUAAAGUAAUCAGGAAAGAAAUAGUCGAUAUCGUUGAAUGGGACUGCGAAGGGAUCACUGUAUGGUAUGAACGUGUCCCUUGGAUCGAAUGUCCCACCGUACCUAUUGCCUGCCGUGUCCUGAUAGCUGUAGACACCUACGCCUUGCGACGCUGGGUAUGCUGAAAUGAAAAAAAAACAUUGGAUUAAUAAUACACUGAUCAAUAUAAUUUUCGUCAUUACGUCACGGUCUUCACACUGUAUAUACAGAACCUGGAUAAAAUAUUCGGG